AGGCAAAGGAGGCAACAUCCGCCGGCGAGUUUCGCCCGCGGGUGCUUUUUUG
rnacentral:sRNA from 2 species